rnacentral:rRNA from 1 species
UAGGGAAUCUUCCACAAUGGACGCAAGUCUGAUGGAGCAACGCCGCGUGAGUGAAGAAGGUUUUCGGACCGUAAAGCUCUGUUGUUGGUGAAGAAGGAUAGAGGUAGUAACUGGCCUUUAUUUGACGGUAAUCAACCAGAAAGUCACGGCUAACUACGUGCCAGCAGCCGCGGUAAUACGUAGGUGGCAAGCGUUGUCCGGAUUUAUUGGGCGUAAAGCGAGCGCAGGCGGAAGAAUAAGUCUGAUGUGAAAGCCCUCGGCUUAACCGAGGAAUUGCAUCGGAAACUGUUUUCUUGAGUGCAGAAGAGGAGAGUAGAACUCCAUGUGUAGCGGUGGAAUGCGUAGAUGUAUGGAAGAAUACCAGUGGCGAAGGCGGCUCUCUGGUCUGCAACUGACGCUGAGGCUCGAAAGCAUGGGUAGCGAACAGGAUUAGAUACCCUGGUAGUCCAUGCCGUAAACGAUGAGUGCUAAGUGUUGGGAGGCUUCCGCCUCUCAGUGCUGCAGCUAACGCAUUAAGCACUCCGCCUGGGGGAGUACGACCGCAAGGUUGAAAC